rnacentral:lncRNA from 1 species
CCUCAUCUGCCUUCUUUAGGUCUUUGUCCUCACGUAUUAACCAAUAAGCAUUAAAUAACUAAUGAUGUUUUUCCCAAUAAUCCUUGUGUAUCUAAGGAUGUUUAUGAUGUGUCUGCAACUUUUCAGAAGUUUAGAAAAUAUAAUUAUUAUUACUCGACUCCUGGCAAGCAAGGGGAAAAAAGUGAAUCACCCCUUCAAUGGAGGCACCAGCUGCUCACCCGAGCAUCGCCCCGGGGAACGCUUUGCCAGCCCCCCAUCCUCCUCCUGUGCCCCACAGCACGCUGUGCAGACACCACACACACAGACUCUGUCCGUGUGUGCACACCCAGGCUUCGGUCCCUGAGGUACUGCCCAUGCUUAGAGGCCGCCCGGCGCUCAACCAGCAUCUUCACUCACCGUCAGACAUCCUACCACUCGGCUUACCUUCCCGGCUCAUGCAGCGAUCCACGGAGGCCGGGCUACCGAUGAAACCUCACCCGUCCCAGAGC